AACGAACGCUGGCGGCAGGCUUUACACAUGCAUGUCGAACGCCCCGCAAGGGGAGUGGCAGACGGGUGAGUAACGUGUGGGUGUCUGCUCAUCUCAGCGGAAUAGCUCCGGGCAACUGGAAUUAAAAUCGCAUACGCACGACGGGGGGAAGAUUUAUCGGGGAUGGAUGAGCCCGCAUUGGAUUAGCUAGUUGGUGGGGUAGAGGCCUACCAAGGCGACGAUCCAUAGCUGGUCUGAGAGGAUGAUCAGCCACAUUGGGACUGAGACACGGCCCAAACUCCUACGGGAGGCAGCAGUGGGGAAUAUUGGACAAUGGGCGCAAGCCUGAUCCAGCCAUGCCGCGUGAGUGAUGAAGACCUUAGGGUUGUAAAGCUCUUUCACCGGUGAAGAUAAUGACGGUAACCGGAGAAGAAGCCCCGGCUAACUUCGUGCCAGCAGCCGCCGUAA
rnacentral:rRNA from 1 species